GAUGAACGCUGGCGGCGUGCCUAAUACAUGCAAGUCGAGCGAACAGACGAGGAGCUUGCUCCUCUGACGUUAGCGGCGGACGGGUGAGUAACACGUGGAUAACCUACCUAUAAGACUGGGAUAACUUCGGGAAACCGGAGCUAAUACCGGAUAAUAUAUUGAACCGCAUGGUUCAAUAGUGAAAGACGGUUUUGCUGUCACUUAUAGAUGGUUCCGCGCCGCAUUAGCUAGUUGGUAAGGUAACGGCUUACCAAGGCAACGAUGCGUAGCCGACCUGCGAGGGUGAUCGGCCGCACUGGAACUGAGACACGGUCCAGACUCCUACGAGAGGCAGCAGUAGGGAAUCUUCCGCAAUGGGCGAAAGCCUGACGGAGCAACGCCGCGUGAGUGAUGAAGGUCUUCGGAGCGUAAAACUCUGUUAUGAGGGAAGAACAAAUUUGUAAGUAACUAUGCACGGCUUGACGGUACCUAAUCAGAAAGCCACGGCUAACUACGUG
rnacentral:rRNA from 1 species